UCGCCACCUCCGGCGAGCAGGUGUUCGUCGACUUCGACACGGUGACGGUCAAGCAGGGCCAGACCGACUCCC
rnacentral:tRNA from 1 species